rnacentral:rRNA from 1 species
AGUGAACGCUGGCGGUAGGCCUAACACAUGCAAGUCGAACGGCAGCACAGUAAGAGCUUGCUCUUGCGGGUGGCGAGUGGCGGACGGGUGAGGAAUACAUCGGAAUCUACUUUUUCGUGGGGGAUAACGUAGGGAAACUUACGCUAAUACCGCAUACGACCUACGGGUGAAAGCAGGGGAUCUUCGGACCUUGCGCGAUUGAAUGAGCCGAUGUCGGAUUAGCUAGUUGGCGGGGUAAAGGCCCACCAAGGCGACGAUCCGUAGCUGGUCUGAGAGGAUGAUCAGCCACACUGGAACUGAGACACGGUCCAGACUCCUACGGGAGGCAGCAGUGGGGAAUAUUGGACAAUGGGCGCAAGCCUGAUCCAGCCAUACCGCGUGGGUGAAGAAGGCCUUCGGGUUGUAAAGCCCUUUUGUUGGGAAAGAAAAGCAGCAGGUUAAUACCCCGCUGUUCUGACGGUACCCAAAGAAUAAGCAUCGGCUAACUUCGUG